CUCAAAACACAACUCAGUGGCUCACCAUUACUCCCUCUUAUCUUCUUCAUUCUCCACGUACCAUUUUUUUCUUCUCUCUUCUUCCUCCCAAACCACCAAUGUGUCUGUGAUUUUAACUCCUUUAUAGCCUAGCCUCAACACGGAUCUCUCUAUACUAAUCUAGAUCAAAGAAAGAUUUGGAACUCAAGAACAUUUUCUGCCGAUCUGCAUGAGAAGAGCCAUAAAUAAAAAUGGAGCUUAAGAGCUCAAACGCUAUUUGUGAUCUCUAUGGGUUGGUGGAUGUGCGAGAGAUAGACGGUUGCAGGCAUUCAUUUGGUUUUUUCAUAAAUGAAUCACUGUAAUCUGUAAUCUUUAAUAGAAUGCCUUUUUGGUUGUUGGAGGUAAAGAGAUUAGAGGCUCUAUCUCUGAUCUAAAGGGGCCCUAUGGUUUACCCCAAGCCUCAGUGAGUCAUGGUUUUGGCCAACAAUCCACUAUGGUCCUUGAGAUGGCACGAGUCAUCAAGUAGAGGUUUGUGAUUCCAAGGCUGCAGCAGAGCAAGGGCUGUUGCUUUGGUUAAACCAAUCUAGGAGCCGGAACAAGUAGCAAAGAGGUUGAUGUAAGAAGCAUAUUAAAGAGUUUGUGCAAGAUCAAGGAGAAUCUUUUCACAGUAGAUGUGGAAGCACCCUUCCUUAGCUUGAUACCAAGGUUUGGUUUUCUGCAAGAGUGGAAGAUGAAGUGCAAUAAAAUCAAGUGGUUCACAAUGAUAGAAAUCGUAGUGUUCUGCUAGAUAUAAAUAAACUCAUUAGAAUAUGAAUGUGUAUUACGUACUAUCACCUUCUAGCAUAGAGCUAUAUUUGAAAGCUUAGUUUCUAUAUUGAUUCAAUUUAGCUAGAAAACAUGCCUUGUUUGAUUUGGUAAAGAACCAUUGGCUGUGAUCAUUUACAAGGUAGACAUAGCACUUGGUACUUUGGUAGUGGAUGUGUAUUAUAUUUGGUAGUGAUACUUUGACAAGGUAGAAUCAUGUUUUCUUC